rnacentral:rRNA from 1 species
AGAGCAUAGGGUGGAUGCCUAGGCACCAAGAGCCGAAGAAGGACGUGGUAAGCUGCGAAAAGCUUUGGGGAGGCGCAAACAGCCGAAGAUCCAGAGAUAUCCGAAUGGGGGAACCCGGCUUGGAAGACCCAAGUCACUGUAUAGUGAAUCCAUAGCUAUACAGGGGGAACGCAGGGAACUGAAACAUCUAAGUACCUGCAGGAGGAGAAAGAAAAAUCGAUUUCCUGAGUAGCGGCGAGCGAAACGGAAGGAGCCCAAACCAGUCUGCGAGCAGAUUGGGGUAGAGGACUGCGGAAGGUAGUUCUGGAGAUAGCCGAAGUGUUUUGGAAAAGCACACCGAAGAAGGUGAAAGUCCUGUAGGCGAAAUCGAAGGGACGCCGGCAGGAUCCGGAGUACCACGGGACACGAGGAAUCCUGUGGGAAGCAGGGAGGACCACCUCCCAAGGCUAAAUACUCCUUGGUGACCGAUAGCGCAUAGUACUGUGAAGGAAAGGUGAAAAGAACCCCGGGAGGGGAGUGAAAGAGAACCUGAAACCCUAUGUUUACAAGCAGUGGGAGGCCCAUAAGAGGCCGACCGCGUACUUUUUGUAGAACGGUCCGGCGAGUUACUUAUGCCAGCGAGGUUAAGCACUGAAGGUGUGGAGCCGAAGGGAAACCGAGUCUUAAACGGGCGAUAUAGUUGGUAUAAGUAGACCCGAAACCGGGUGAUCUACCCAUGGUCAGGAUGAAGUCAUCGUAAAAGGUGAUGGAGGUCCGAACCCGGACGUGUUGAAAAACGUUGGGAUGAACUGUGGGUAGGGGUGAAAUUCCAAUCGAACCCGGAGAUAGCUGGUUCUCCGCGAAAUAGCUUUAGGGCUAGCCUUUAUGAUACCUGACGGAGGUAAAGCACUGAUUUGCCUAGGGGGCCAACAAGCUUACCGAAGCAUCUCAAACUCAGAAUGCCGUACAGGAGGACAUAAGGAGUCAGACUAUGGGAGAUAAGUUUCAUAGUCGAGAGGGAAAGAGCCCAGACCAUCAGCUAAGGUCCCGAAGUGUGUGUUAAGUGGGAAAGGAUGUAUUAUUUCGAAGACAACUAGGAUGUUGGCUUAGAAGCAGCCAUACAUUUAAAGAGUGCGUAAUAGCUCACUAGUCGAGAGGUAAUGCGCCGAAAAUUACCGGGGCUAAAACACACCACCGAAGCUAUGGAAGUUACUUAAGGUAACUUGGUAGCGGAGCGUUCUCUUGGCGCAGAAGCUGUACCGAAAGGAGCAGUGGAGCUAAGGGAAGUGAGAAUGCCGGAAUGAGUAGCGAGAAAGAAGUGAGAAUCUUCUUGGCCGAAUAUCCAAGGUUUCCAGAGUAAAGCUGAUCUGCUCUGGGUAAGUCGGGGCCUAAGGUGAGGGCGAAAGCCGUAGCCGAUGGGGAACAGGUAGAAAUUCCUGUACUACUGAUAAACAGAACUGUAGUGACGCAGGAGGGUAGGCAGACCGGGGAAUGGAGAGACCCGGUUAAGCACAAAGCCUAGGCUGGCAGGCAAAACCGUCAGUUGGUGGUGAAGUGUGACGAGGACCGAAAAACAAGUAGGGAAGCUGCUGAACCCACACUGCCGAGAAAAGCUGCUAUAGAUUUAUCAGUACCCGUACCGUAAACCGACACAGGUGGAUGAGGAGAGAAUCCUAAGGCCGACGGGAGAAGCGUUGUUAAGGAACUCGGCAAAAAGACCCCGUAACUUCGGGAGAAGGGGUGCCUGUAGAGAUACAGGCCGCAGAGAAUAGGCCCAAACGACUGUUUAGCAAAAACACAGGUCUCUGCUAAACCGAAAGGUGAAGUAUAGGGGCUGACGCCUGCCCGGUGCUGGAAGGUUAAGGGGACGUGUCAGACUUAGGUCGAAGCACAGAACUUAAGCCCCAGUAAACGGCGGCCGUAACUAUAACGGUCCUAAGGUAGCGAAAUUCCUUGUCGGGUAAGUUCCGACCCGCACGAAAGGCGUAACGAUUUGGGCACUGUCUCGACAACGCGCCCGGUGAAAUUGAAGUACUGGUAAAGAUGCCAGUUACCCGCGACAGGACGGAAAGACCCCGUGGAGCUUUACUGUAGCUUGAUACUGGGAUUCGGUGCUGCAUGUACAGGAUAGGAGGGAGGCAGAGAAUCAUGGACGCCAGUCUGUGAGGAGCCGCUGUUGGGAUACCUCUCUUGUAGUACUGAAUUUCUAACCUGAAUCCGUGAACCGGAUUAGGGACACUGUCAGGCAGGCAGUUUGACUGGGGCGGUCGCCUCCGAAAGAGUAACGGAGGUGCUCGAAGGUAACCUCAGAAUGGUUGGAAAUCAUUCGCAGAGUGCAAAGGCAGAAGGUUGCUUAACUGUGACAGAGACAUCUGGAGCAGGUACGAAAGUAGGACUUAGUGAUCCGGUGGUAAGAAAGUGGGAUUGCCAUCGCUCAACGGAUAAAAGCUACCCCGGGGAUAACAGGCUGAUCUCCCCCAAGAGUUCACAUCGACGGGGAGGUUUGGCACCUCGAUGUCGGCUCAUCGCAUCCUGGAGCUGAAGCAGGUUCCAAGGGUUGGGCUGUUCGCCCAUUAAAGCGGUACGCGAGCUGGGUUCAGAACGUCGUGAGACAGUUCGGUCCCUAUCCGUCGUGGGCGCAGGAAAUUUGAGAGGUACUGUCCUUAGUACGAGAGGACCGGGAUGGACGAACCUCUGGUGCAUCUGUUGUACUACCAAGUGCAUAGCAGAGUAGCCAAGUUUGGAGAGGAUAAACGCUGAAGGCAUCUAAGCGUGAAGCCCGCCUCAAGAUAAGAUUUCCCAUAGCGUUAAGCUAGU